UAAAAUACUUAAGGGCACACAGGGAAUGCCUAGGUAGUAAGAGCCGAUGAAGGACGUGGUAAGCUGCGAUAAGCUUGGGCUAGCUGCAAACGAGCGUUAACCCCAAGAUUUCCCAAUGGAGCAAUCUGCUAAGAUGGAGUCUUAGCACGAAAGAGGGUACCGAGUGAACUGAAACAUCUAAGUAACUCGAGGAAAAGAAAGUAAAAACGAUUCCCCAAGUAGCGGCGAGCGAACGGGGAUGAGCCUAAACCAUAUAAGUGUCAAGGAUACAGCCGUUGCUUAUAUGGGGUUGUGGGAAGAACAAUUGAAGAACUGUAAGAUAUUCAACAUUAUUAUGCGCUGAACUGGAAUUAGUUGGAAAGCUAAAUCGUAGAAGGUGAUAAUCCUGUACAGGUAAACCGCAUAAUGUGUAUGUUCUCUCCCAAGUAACAUGGAACACGAGGAAUUCUGUGUGAAUCUGCGAGGACCAUAUCUCGUAAGGCUAAAUACUCUUACUAACCGAUAGCGUAUAGUACCGUGAGGGAAAGGUGAAAAGAACCCCGGGAGGGGAGUGAAAUAGAACCUGAAACUGUGUGCUUACAAGCGGUCAGAGCCCGCAAGGGUGAUGGCGUGCCUUUUGGAGAAUGAUCCUGCGAGUUACGUUCAGUGGCGAGGUUAAGUAUAACGGAGCCGAAGGGAAACCGAGUCUGAAUAGGGCGACAUAGUCGCUGGGCGUAGACGCGAAACCUGGUGAUCUAAGCCUGUCCAGGGUGAAGCUGUGGUAAGACACAGUGGAGGCCCGAACUCACCGCCGUUGAAAAGUUGGGAGAUGAGGUAGGUUUAGGGGUGAAAAGCCAAUCGAACUAGGAGAUAGCUCGUUCUCUCCGAAAUGCAUUUAGGUGCAGCCUUGAGUGUUUAAUUAUGGGGGUAGAGCACUGAAUGAACUAGGGGGCGUAUUGCUUACUGAAUUCAAUCAAACUCCGAAUACCAUAAUUCAAGAGCUCAGGAGUGAGACUAUGGGAAUUAACUUCCAUUGUCAAAAGGGAAACAACCCAGACCACCAGCUAAGGUCCCUAAUUAUAACUAAGUGGGAAAGGAGGUGGAGAUUCAUAAACAACCAGGAGGUUGGCUUAGAAGCAGCCAUACCUUUAAAGAGUGCGUAAUAGCUCACUGGUCGAGAGUCUCUGCGCCGACAAUGUAACGGGGCUAAGUUAUAAACCGAAGCUGUGGAAUUGCGCAAGCAAUUGGUAGGAGAGCGUUCUGUAGGCCGUUGAAGGAGAACUGAUAAGGGACUCUGGAGGUAUCAGAAGUGAGAAUGCAGGAAUAAGUAGCGAGAAGGGAGGCGAGAAUCCUCCCCGCCGGAAGACCAAGGUUUUCAGGGUAAAGCUUGUCUUCCCUGAGUAAGCCGGGACCUAAGCCGAGGCUAAAGUGCGUAGGCGAAUGGAAAACAGAUUAAUAUUUCUGUGCCAGUUAUAUUUUGUGAUGGAGGGACGCAGAAGGGUAUGCACGCAGGAGAACGGAAGUUCCUGUGGAAGCGCGUAGAGUGAUCUAGUAGGCAAAUCCGCUAGAUUAGACUUGAGGCGUAAAGGAAAGGUGCAAAUCCCACGCUGCCGAGAAAAGCUUCUAACGUUAAGGUAUAACUGCCCGUACCCGAAACCGACACAGGUGGUCAGGAUGAGAAAUCUAAGGCGGACAGGCUAACUCUCGUUAAGGAACUCUGCAAAAUUGCCCCGUAACUUAGGGAGAAGGGGUGCCUCUGAAUGUUAGUAAACACGCGUUACAAAGCGUUUGGAGGUCGCAGUGAAGAGGCUCAAGCAACUGUUUAACAAAAACACAGGUCUAUGCUAAGCUGUAAGGCGAUGUAUAUGGGCUGACACCUGCCCAGUGCCGGAAGGUUAAGAGGAGGAGUGAGAGCUCCGAAUUGAAGCCCCGGUGAACGGCGGCCGUAACUAUAACGGUCCUAAGGUAGCGAAAUUCCUUGUCGGGUAAG
rnacentral:rRNA from 1 species